rnacentral:rRNA from 1 species
UACAGAGGUCUCAAGCGUUGUUCGGAUUCAUUGGGCGUAAGGGGUGUGUAGGUGGCGCCGUAAGUCGGGUGUGAAAUUUCGGAGCUUAACUCCGAAACUGCAUUCGAUACUGCGGUGCUUGAGGACUGGAGAGGAGACUGGAAUUCAUGGUGUAGCAGUGAAAUGCGUAGAGAUCAUGAGGAAGACCAGUGGCGAAGGCGGGUCUCUGGACAGUUCCUGACACUGAGACACGAAGGCCAGGGGAGCAAACGGG